UACGGAGGGUGCAAGCGUUGCUCGGAAUCACUGGGCGUAAAGGGUGCGUAGGCGGUUUGUCGCGUCGGGAGUGAAAACUCAGGGCUUAACCCUGAGCCUGCUUCCGAUACGGGCAGACUAGAGGUAUGCAGGGGAGAAUGGAAUUCCUGGUGUAGCGGUGAAAUGCGCAGAUAUCAGGAGGAACACCGGUGGCGAAGGCGGUUCUCUGGGCAUUACCUGACGCUGAGGAGCGAAAGUGUGGGGAGCGAACAGG
rnacentral:rRNA from 1 species